rnacentral:lncRNA from 1 species
CUCCUGUGACAUCCUCGGUUUACUUCAGGCACAUCUCCUAAGAAAUUGUUUAAGAAGGAAUAUUGUUUCCUUCAUAACAAUCAUACAUACUAUAUUCUUCUGUGGUUAUUUGUACGGGUUUUAUGCAAUUUUUAAAUUGUGCAGUUUUUUUUGCUAUGAUAGUAGUUCACACUGUGAAAAUUAUAAGAUUGAUGCACUGUUACUGUACAAGUUCCUUCUGUACAUUUUAGUACUGCAGGUGAAAUUCCUUUUACAAAAAUGACUGGCAGCUACUUGCACUCAUUCCCUCCUGGCAGCUCAACUCACAUGAUUGCGUGACUAUAAAACUUAAGGGCAGAAAGUUCGAGAACAACAUGACAACGACGUCCGAGAGCUGAGCUCAUCGAAAUGCAUGGAUGUGGACAGACGGCGCAAGGACCUGGGAACUAACCCCACAGUCUGCGGGCCAUCUAGACGAUCACCCGUCCCUUCAUUCCCCAGCUGUCAGCGACCAGCACAGGACACAUCGACCUCUUCCCCCGAGACUCCGCGGAGCUCAGCCUGAGGUAGGCAGAGAAAUGUCAACUGUCAUCUUUGAAAGGACCUCAAGUUUCAAAGAAGAGGAAAUAUUUGGUUCUUAUGCGGAGAACACAUUCGAUGGAAACGCGUAGAUAUGAAUGAAGGGCGGUAUGAAAACAAGCUUGUGAAGAUGAGAGAGGGUAUUUUUCACAGAAACCUCAUGUCAGGACCGAGAUAAGGGAAGACAGGCCUGUGUGAAGAGGACAGAUGCCUCCUGCAUUGCUGCCUUUGAACUGUCUUGUUUCGUUUUCCAUUAAAUACUCAAACUGUCUUUGGUGAACAGUGCAUUUCUACACUGAAGCCCCACGCACACAUCUUCCGUUGUUAAAAACGUUUCCCCUGUCUUGCAAAUGUAUCUUGCAUCCCUCCUUUGAGAUCCCCUUAGACAACACAGGAUACAAACACACAGUUUGUCGCUCGAAGAAACAGUUGAUUUCUGUUUAUUUAUUCUUUUUUCACUUAUUUCAAUCGGAUUGUUCAUGGGAAUUAUGAAAUCCUUUUACACCGUCAUGUCACAUGUAUUGACAAGCUUCUGCCUUCCUUGUCAAGAUGAGGGAGGCAACAUUAGCCAGGGAUUUUGAUUUGGUAUGUGAGCACA